AGAUACUGUAUCUACCAGCAGUUGUUUUUAAAGGCUGAGGGAGAACACUGUCAUACAAUUUGGUUAAAGUAUUUCCAAACAGGGAAAUGCAUAAUCAUGUGUGGAGUAGUGUCCUCGAUGUAGCCUAACUAUGCUGGAGUAGUGUCCUCGAUGUAGCCUAACUAUACUGGAGUAGUGUCCUCGAUGUAGCCUAACUAUGCUGGAGUAGUGUCCUCGAUGUAGCCUAACUAUGCUGGAGUAUUGUCCUCGAUGUAGCCUAACUAUACUGGAGUAGUGUCCUCGAUGUAGCCUAACUAUGCUGGAGUAGUGUCCUCGAUGUAGCCUAACUAUGCUGGAGUAGUGUCCUCGAUGUAGCCUAACUAUACUGAAGUAGUGUCCUCGAUGUAGCCUAACUAUGCUGGAGUAGUGUCCUCGAUGUAGCCUAACUAUACUGGAGUAGUGUCCUCGAUGUAGCCUAACUAUACUGGAGUAGUGUCCUCGAUGUAGCCUAACUAUACUGGAGUAGUGUCCUCGAUGUAGCCUAACUAUGCUGGAGUAGUGUCCUCGAUGUAGCCUAACUAUACUGGAGUAGUGUCCUCGAUGUAGCCUAACUAUACUGGAGUAGUGUCCUCGAUGUAGCCUAACUAUGCUGGAGUAGAAAUACAGUAACUGUCAUAUAGGUGUGUGGAAAUCCAGUAACUGUCAUAUAGAUGUGUGGAAAUACAGUAACUGUCAUAUAGGUGUGUGGAAAUACAGUAACUGUCAUAGGUGUGUGGAAAUACAAUAACUGUCAUAUAGGUGUGUGGAAAUACAAUAACUGUCAUAUAGGUGUGUGGAAAUACAGUAACUGUCAUACAGGUGUGUGGAAAUACAGUAACUGUCAUACAGGUGUGUGGAAAUACAGUAACUGUCAUGGGUGUGUGGAAAUACAAUAACUGUCAUAUAGGUGUGUGGAAAUACAGUAACUGUCAUAUAGGUGUGUGGAAAUGCAGUAACUGUCAUACAGGUGUGUGGAAAUACAGUAACUGUCAUACAGGUGUGUGGAAAUACAGUAACUGUCAUAUAGGUGUGUGGAAAUACAGUAACUGUCAUAUAGGUGUGUGGAAAUACAGUAACUGUCAUAUAGGUGUGUGGAAAUACAGUAACUGUCAUAUAGGUGUGUGGAAAUACAGUAACUGUCAUAUAGGUGUGUGGAAAUACAGUAACUGUCAUAUAGGUGUGUGGAAAUACAGUAACUGUCAUAUAGGUGUGUGGAAAUACAGUAACUGUCAUAUAGGUGUGUGGAAAUACAGUAACUGUCAUACAGGUGUGUGGAAAUACAGUAACUGUCAUACAGGUGUGUGGAAAUACAGUAACUGUCAUACAGGUGUGUGGAAAUACAGUAACUGUCAUACAGGUGUGUGGAAAUACAGUAACUGUCAUACAGGUGUGUGGAAAUACAGUAACUGUCAUACAGGUGUGUGGAAAUACAGUAACUGUCAUACAGGUGUGUGGAAAUACAGUAACUGUCAUAUAGGUGUGUGGAAAUACAGUAACUGUCAUACAGGCGUUUGGCCUCCGGGGGGCAGACAGACAUUGUGUAGAAAAGUCAACUCUGUGAAGAAUGUGCUUCUCUAAGCAUUCAAUAUGUAGAAACAGUCCAUUAUAAAGUGUUUGGUAUUACAAUCUAGCUAGGCAUAUAUUAUAUAUAUAUAUAUAUUACACACAGUCAUGUAUUAACAGAUGUAAAAAGGUUGAAUGGUAUCAAAGCAACAAGUCAAGAAAUAUACUAUUGAUCAACAUGAUCAUGAAAUAAAAGCUGUAAAAUAUGAAUGAAUGCAGAUGCCAGGUGUUGUUAUUCGUUACCCUUAUAUUUGACGAUGACAAUCAGUGUUUCACAAGUAUUGAUCACAGCAAUGAGAGAGGGAAAAUAAUCAUGAUAUCAAUUCAUACAUUCUAAUACGCGUUGCUUUAUAGGGGUCGAAU